rnacentral:tRNA from 1 species
GCGGGGUGGAGCAGUUCGUGAGCUUGUCGGGUUCAUAACCCGAAGGUCACAGGUUCAAGUCCUGUCCAAACACGCA